AUCAUAUCUACCAGGACAAAUAAUAUUUGUUAAGAAAAAUAGGAGAUUAGGAACUAAGUUAAGUAAACCCUACAGUAAGGAAAUAGUUAAGGAAGAUAGAAAUAGUACCGUGUUAACUGAAAAAGGACAAAUAAUUCACAAAGGUAGAAUACGUAACUAAAUAUGUACUGACAUUUUUUUCCAGAAUAUUACUACCGCUAUGCCUGGCGGAAGUACAGAUCCUCGACUACUCAAUCUCCCAAUUAAUAACAAUAGAAAAGGGAACGGCUAGACUACAAACAGGACAUUUAGGAUAAUACAUGAAAUUGACAUAGAAAAAUAUACGGACACACUAGACCACAUAGAAGCGACUAUCAAAAUUGAAACUAUCCGCAAAAACCCUAAUUACCCCUAUCAAUGGAAAAAAGUUCUAUAACGAAGAAAGAACAGCAAGUAAACCACUACCAGCCAUCCUUCAACCGUCAUCCGCACUACACAAUAUAGAAGAAUUCCUCUCGCUGGAGAUGCUGAAACAGCUUAACUUCAACAAUACAAAAGAAGUUAGUCUGUUAGAAGCAGCAAACAGAGUAAAACACGGAACCAGCAUCACGCUAAUCAUCCUUUUAAUAUUCAUCGCCCUAAUUUUCGGGAAGAAACUUCUGAUCAAACAAAAAGAAGAUGAACCCAACAAACUCUCACAGCCGGCAAUAGAAGGUCUCAACCAAAUUUUUAAUACACCUAAAGAUUCAAACGAGGACGUUUGAAUUUCAAGGGGGACUAGUUAGCACCCCAUACAUUCAAAAGUAUCAUAUGAUGCAGUAAUAUCAUAUGAUACAAAGUAAAAUAAUAUGAUACCACUAAAUCGCUGAGACUGCGACACGUGUAGUGGCAACCUAUGGGAAGCGCAACGUCAGCGAAGUGCCAACCUGUGGGAAGCGCAACGUCAGCGAACUCCGUACCCGUUGCAGCGGCAAACAUAGGUCUAGAGUUAAGUAUAAUUAAUUGUAAAUGUUAGUUCAUAAGUGAAACUCAAUAAAGGAGCAUAGCUCCAAUAAAAUAUUUUUUUAUAAAAAACGAUAAAAAGUUUUUUAACUUGUAUAUCCAUACGUAUAUGUAAUCAUUUCAUGUUUCAAAAUGAAAAAAAUCAGUUCUGCUUACUAUUUUAAUUAUUUUUGGGAAAUCAUUUGGCACACUUAAAACGUUGUGCAAAACAUAAACAACCAAAUUAGGAGUUUAGUAUGAAGUUAGAUUUGUACAGUUAUUGACGAAGGAUAAACUUGUAAAAACUAUUACUAUUAAAAAUUAAUAAAUAAAAAUAGGGCCAAACCAAAAUAAAACUAUUUUUGUUGCAUAUGUUUUGCGCAAUACUAUUGAUUUAUUUAAUUGUAACAUGCAAGAAAAUAUGGUAAGAAAAAUCCUACGGGAAAGCUAUUUUCACGCUGGACGAAUGCUGACAAAACCAAUUAUAAAAAGUUUUCAACCGAUCGUACAACUACCGCUUCGCCAGCAGCUUUAUCCAGCGGUAUAAACAAAUAGAUUGUUUACUCUCACCAGAUAUACUUAUUUCUGAAUAUUUAGAUAAGUAUUACGAAAAGAAGUGCUGCAGAAUAAUUGCACACCAUGGGAACAGGUUAUUGAUUACUGGAAGGAGACAUCUGGUCAAAGAAUUAAAGAUAUCUAUAACGCCAGUUCUUUAAGCUGCAUUUUUAGUGAAUGGCCGCGCUAUAAGGACUUUCGUUGAUAUGAACUUGUAUAAAUAGACUUUGAGACUCUUUACCCCGGGAAAGGAAAUAUGUUAUUUUUGAAAUUGGAGAAGUUUUAUAAAGAAAUCAUCAAAAUUUUUGAUAGAGAUAUAAAAGACCGUGUUUCGAGGGAACUAAUCUUAAAGUAUUUGCACAUUGACAACAUCUCAAGUGAAUGUAAAUAUUGUAUAAGUACAAUUCUUCUACAUGCUUUGCUACAGCCUUUGAGGCUUAAUAAGGACAAAAAACCAACAAUAGCUGAUGCCCAAACAGAUUUCGUAACACUCGUUGCAACACGUAAUGAUAUUCAACCCACAAUAAUUGAAUUGAAGAACCAGUUUGCGGUAAGAAAGGAGAAACUACAGCCGAGAAUUAUCGUCGUUGGAUCAGAUUGGUCAUCCAUUUCAGAGUUUUAUGUUUUUUGCGAUGGUCUGCAAUGGAAAUGUACUACGUAUAUGAAGUGCGUUGACUGCAUUAUUAAACUAUCGUACGUUUAUAAGAUAGAAUAUUCACAAAGAAGCAAGCAAGUAUGGGCAUUUUUAGAACAAUAUUUUUUUGAGUUGAAAUCCGAAGAAUUUUCUUCAGUGGCAAAUCUUUUGAGUAAAUUAAACUAAUUUCAUCUAAUUUUGCUAUAAUGCCCAAUUUUGCUUGCUUAAUUUGUCAAAAAGCUCACUUAAAUCCUAUAGAGCUGAUUAAACAUCUAAAGUCAGCACAUGGUACUCCACCAGUUUGUAAAUUUCAAUGUAACGAAUAUAAUUGCAAACAAAUUUUUUAUAACAUUCACAGAUUUCAAAUUCACCUCAAAAACAUUUGAAAAUAGAAAUUCGCAAUAGCCAAGCUUGUAAAGGAAAUUCUCUUGCUCUUAAUAUUCCAAUUCAAACAACUAAUUCAUCAAAUCAACUAGUACCAAUUCAAAAUAUUACUUCUUUAAAAGAUUCAAUGAUCGCGUUUCUACUUCAACUGCAUUCCAAUACGAAUUUUUCUCGGAAAGACGUAUUCGAAAUUCAAAAUUCCGUAACAGAGUUAAUUUCAACCCCAAUAUGUGAAAUAUUAAGAGCCAUUAGUAAUUUUCAUGAAAAUAAUUCUAUACUUGAGGAAGUAAUUAAAAUUAUAUCUCAGCCAUUUUAUGAUUUAACCACCGAAUACAAAUUUUUCAAAGAAAUAGAAAAACUAGACCUGUAUAAACAUCCGCAAAAAUAUAUUGUUAGCGACGAACUCUCAGAAGUCAUACUUAAUAACAACCCAACUUUAACCUUAGCUAGAACCGAAAUAACCCUAUCAGACAUUCCUUUUCAAAUUAAAAAUUUUUUUGAGAGUAAAGGGAUCUUAGAGGCAACGCUUUUAAAUAUGAAAAACUUAUCAGAAAACCUUCCUUAUACUCAUUUCAUCAAUAGCAGCUUUUGGCAAAAUUCAAAGAAAAAUAAUGUAACGAUUCCAUUUUUUUGUAUAUGGAUGACUUCGAAAUUAAUGAUCCUUUGGGCAGUAAAUCUGGCCAACAAAAAAUUUGCGGUAUAUAUUAUAACUUUCCAAGCGUGCCUCAGUACCAACUUUGCAAAUUAUCAAAUAUAUUUGUAGCAGGGUUUGUUAAAGUUCGAGAUCUACAAGAUUGUGGAUUUACUGUUUGCCUUACACCACAUCUGAAUAUUUUAAAAACAUUGGAAAUUAAUGGUCUUCAAAUAAAUGUAGAUGGCAAAAGCUGUAUAAUACAUUUUAAACUAGUACAAAUUUUAGGCGAUAAUCUUGGUCGUAACACUGCAUUAGGCUAUGUAAGUUCUUUUUCUGCGAAUUCUUGGUGCAGAAUAUGCAAAAGGCAAAAACUUCAAACUCGUACAGAUUGUCUUGAAGUCCCGAACUCAUUACGAACUAGAAGUAGUUAUAAUAGCGAUAUUUUACUGAACAAUCCUGUUGUUAGUGGCAUUAAAAAUGUUUCGAUAUUUAAUUCCUUGUCACACUUUCAUGUAACCGAUAACAUUGCUUGUGACAUAAUGCACGAUUUAUUUUUGGGUGUUUGCAAAUAUAAUUUUUCCAAAAUUUUACAUUAUUUUGUGUAUGAAAAAAAGUUUUUUUGUUUAGAAACUUUGAAUUACAGGAAACAGAUGUUUCAGUAUGGGGAUACAGAAAUUGGCAAUAUAAGUCCACCCAUUUAAAAGCACCAUAUACAAAACGCUUCAUUCAAAAUGAACGCGAGACAGAUGAAAACAUUUUCUCACUUGAUACUGCUCAUGGUAGGUGAUCUAAUUGAUCGAGAUGAUUUAGUAAAUAAAUUCCUUAUUCUGUUCGUAAGACUAAUUGAUCUGAUUUUGUUAUCUAAUUACAACGAUAAAAUUUUAAAUGAUCUCCAAUUAUUGAAGAGCAUAAUUUUACGUACCAAAAAUUAUUUAAGGAACAUCUGAAACCAAAGUUUCAUAACCUAGUGCAUUAUCCUACAAUAAUUAAAAAAUUGGGGCCAAUAAAAAUUUUAUGGACAUUUCGGUUCGAAGCUGAACACCAGUUGCACAAGCAAUACGCGCAAAGCAUUUCUCCAGAACAAAUGUUAAAUUUAAAAUUGGCCACAUAGUUACUGUAACUAUAAAUGAAAAUAUAAAUAUAUAUGAAGUACUGGAUUUUAUAAUUAAAGAAAAUAAUGUAGAAAUUGUUGGAAAGAAAUGGACACGCCUAAAUUUUUCAGAAAGGUUUCAAUCAUAUCUUAUGGGGCCCGUUACAGAAAUAUAUGAUAUCAUACAUUUGACAACGUUAGAUGGUCCACCUAUUCACUUUUAUUUGCUUAAUAAUGGCCUUAAAGUUUUAAGACAAAAGAAGUAUUGGUAAUUUAAUUUAUUGAUUUCUUAUUUAAUGUGUAUAAUAAUUAUAUAUUUUAUUUGCUAUUUAUAUUAUAUACAUUCUAUUACAAAACCCAUACUUAUACACCUAAGUUUCAGAAUUUUAAGAAAAAGUUUUUAUCAGUUUGUAGUUUGAUAAUUCAUUAAAUUUUUGUAUGUAUGGUUUAUGGUAUGUGGUUAUUAAACUGUAAUAAAAAAAAAAAAUUAUGUGAAUUAUUUGUGAAAAGAUCCCAAAACCUUUCCCAUAUUUUAUUACUUACGAAAAGAAUCAUGUUAAGUUAUUUAAGUUAUUUUUUUACCCAACUUAUGUAAUAAAUAAACGUAAAAUUUUUAGAAUUGAAUGAAACCCUUAAUAUGUAAUAUCUGUAAUUUGUAUUAUCAACUUAUGCUUUUUAAAUAAAUGCAAAGCUCUAAACUUAUUAGAAUACUAAAACAUGCUUU